AUGCGGGGCGAAACUGUGCUGGAGCGUAUACUUGAAGGAGACGAGGAACCCAAGGAUCUGCCAUUAGCACUCCUACAGCACAUCACCAAUGAUUUCUGUGAAGAGAGAAAAAUCGGUCAGGGUGGAUUUGGGGACGUUUACAAGGGCGUACUCCGGAACGGGCUUGCUGUUGCUGUGAAGAGGAUACAUAUAAAUGUAGACGCAGUCGAUGACAAGCUUUUUCGCCAGGCUGGACCAGAAGAAAUUAAAUUGGCCAAUGUGAGAGAAAGAUUGCUCUGUUUUGAGUACAUCAGCAAUGGAAGCCUUGAUAAGCAUAUUACCGAUGAAUUAAGGGGACUCGAAUGGGAAACACGCUAUGGCAUAAUCAUCGGAAUUUGCAAUGGUCUGUGUCAUCUCAAGGAAAAAAAUAUUAUUCAUAUGGACCUCAAACCAGCAAACAUAUUACUGGAUGAUCAUAUGGUCCCCAAAAUCACAGAUUUUGGUUUGUCAAGGCCAAAUGAAAGCUCACAUACAAUUGGUCAACGUUUUGGAACACGAGGAUAUCUCGUGCCGGAGUACGAGAAUGCUGGCAAAACUUUGGUCAAGUCUGACAUAUAUAGUUUGGGUGCCAUAAUUAUUGAAUUAGUAACGGGAUGUAUGGGUGCCCCUGACAAAAUAAAUGUAAGCCCUUAUUUUGAUGAAGAUGACAUGCUAGGGAUUAAGCCACUCGAACUACGGCUUUCUUCCAAGCUUAAGGAGGAGAUAUCAUGCUUCACGGUUGAACUAACCAAUGAUACACGUAGUUGCAUUGCCUUCAACAUCCAAUUGCCAAGCAGACAACAAUACAACGCACAACCAGACAUAGGCAUCGUGCAACCACAAUCCAAGUAUGGUGUGAAGAUAACAGUACAAGCACGAGAUGCUCAUGAGCACGACCAUGCCGACAAGUUCAUCGUGCAGAGCAUGAAACUGAGUGACGGUCUUAGAGAUAAGGUUAUCACAGAAAGCAUGUUCCAUGAAGAAGCCGGUAGAGUUGUUGAUGAGGUGCAUUUGAUGGUUGUAUAUGUGCUUACAAAGCCCCAAGAAAACUGCAAGAGUAGAGAAGACACCAACAUGCCAGAGGAAGUCCUCGAGGUGAAAAAAAGGAAGAUUGUUGAUUCUGCUUCCGGAAAGGGCAAACUUGUUAGCAACGAAAAUGUAGAGACAAGCUUAGUCAGGCACAAGGACAUCAAUUCAAGCACGCGAGAACAUUAUACCGAGCAAACAGAGCGGUAUAAAUUCUACCCACCACGGAGUUUUUCAUGCCAUUAUCCAACCAACACGACAUACCUAGGGAAAGGGAGCCGAGCCUUGGAUGUUGCAAGGGGGGCUAUGGGCAGCCUACUCGACAAGCUGGGCAAGCUCGUCAAGGAGGACUACAAUCUGGAGAGGAGCAUGAAGAGAGAUAUUGAGUCUUUUUCAGAGGACCUGGCAAGGAUUCACAAAGACCUCCCUAAGCUGGAAAAGCUUGACGGGCUCAAGAUUUGGAUUGAUGAAGUCAGGGAGCUGUCAUAUAACAUUGAGGAUAUGGUCGACAGCUUCCUGUUGCACGUCGAGCUUGACUCCAGUAGCAGUGGCUUCAGAGAGUUCCCGCAUGAGGGGCUAAAGUUCUUGGAGAAUGACAUGACGACUCAAAGUCAGAUUGGUGAUGUUAUCAGAAACAUCAAGAAUCAUGUUCAGGCCGUGGCUGACAGGCAAAAGAAGUACAACUUCAGUGUCAACGAUGUCAUAGCUGAUCCAACUGCCAAAGCUCCCAUUGACCCUCGGAUGCCUAAAUAUAUAAAUAAAAAACAGCUCGUUGGCAUCGAAUCACCAACAGAAGAGCUAAUAAGGUUGUUUGGGGAGGAUGGCGGUGUAUCAAAGCAAGAGCUCAAAAUAGUCUCCAUAGUUGGAUUGGGAGGACUGGGCAAGACCACACUUGCCAGGGCAGUAUAUGACAAGCUUAAGGCACAAUACCAUUGUAGAGCUUUUGUUUCAGUAGGCCAGAAUCCUGAUGUGAAGAAAGUUUUGAUGAAUAUUCUCUUUGCACUUGGAAAAAAAUUCAAUGACUUGGAUGUGUCGCAGCUCAUCGAGGAACUCCAAAAAUUGCUUGAGGAUAAGAGAUACUUCAUAGUAAUUGAUGAUAUUUGGGAUUCCGAAGCAUGGGAUCCUAUUCAAUCUGCUUUUCCAGAAAACAGCCUUGGCAGUAGAGUGAUAACAACAACAAGGAUUCAUCCUGUUGCUCUUGCCACUUGCAGUGCUGAAAGCAAAUUUGUUUAUAGGAUGAAAUCACUCAGUCCUGAAGACUCAAGAAGAUUAUUUUUAAGAAGAAUAUUUGGUUCUGAAGAAGCUUCGCCUGAUACACCCAGAGAAGAAGAGAUUUCAGUUGAUAUUCUGAAAAAAUGUGGUGGUAUGCCACUUGCUAUCAUCAGUAUAGCAAGCCUUCUAGCUGGUGAGCCAGCGUCAACCUGGGAUUAUGUAAGAAAAACUAUGGGUGCUAUGACUGAAGGAGAUGAUGUUGAAAAGAUGAAGCAAAUUUUGGAUCUUAGCUACAUACAUCUUCCUGAUCAUCUUAAGACAUGUCUGCUUUAUGUUUGUAUGUAUCCAGAGGAUCGCGAGAUAGAUAAAUUUGAUUUGUUGAGGCAAUGGGUGGCUGAAGGUUUCGUGAUUACAAACGGCCGGCUGGAUGCAGUGGAUCUUGCAGAGAAGUACUUCAAAGAGCUCAUCAAUAUGUGUAUGAUCGAACCUGGGAAGGUAGAUGACUACAACAAUGAAGUGUUGUCUUGCAGAGUACAUGAUAUAAUUCUUGAUCUGAUGAGAUCCAAGUCAAGCAAGGAGAAUUUCAUCCAUGUAAUUGAUGGUUCGAAAGAUGAGACUGGGCAGAUCCGUCGAGUCUCAUUCCACUACAAUGAUAAAGAGGAUACAGGGAUUUUAGGAACUAUCAACAAAGGUUCACUAUCACAUGUUCGCUCGACGGGAAAUGCUAGAGGUGGUAUAGCGUUGCCUGACAGGAUCGACAGGUUGACAUCCCUGUGCACCCUAGAAGGUGUUUGUAUUUAUAGAAGCUCGGUAGAGAAUAUCAAGGGCCUUGGCAAGCUGACCAACUUAAGAAAACUUGCGAUCUGUUCGGCCAAGUUUAGGCAAUCGAUGGAAGAGGAAGAGGAAAUUAUGCGUGUGGAUACCUUGCACUCUUCCAUCUGCAUGCUCGCCUCCAACCUCAGGAUCCUUACUUUUGGAAUAUCAUCUGAAGUUUCCAUGCCGGAUGUCGGAUGCUGGAGCAGCAGCUCACCAUUCCCUCAGGUUUCUCAUAUUCGGGAGCUCAAUUUGUUGUGCUGCGAGUUUGAAAGGUGCCCUGAGUGGAUUUGUCAGCUCCAUCACCUCUACAAGUUUCUAAUUUCUGUGAAGGAGGUGGCUGAUGGUUUCAGUAUUGUUGCAAGGUUGCCUUCACUUGCCUACUUCAAGUUGGUUACAUUUGUUAAAGAAGAAAAGGAAGAAAGUGUAGUCAUCCCUGGCCGCGGGGCAUUCCAAGCACUCAAGCACCUGAUUUUCCAUUGUGAAAAGGUGUCACUGACCUUCGAAGCGGGGGCUAUGCCCAAGCUAGAGAAGCUUGACAUGCAGUUACGUUGGGACAUGACUUGUGAAUUCUUACCGGUUGGCAUCGAGCACUUGCAGGCUGGCACCCUUAAAGAAAUUACCGGUUGGCAUCGAGCACUUGCAGGCUGGCACCCUUAA
rnacentral:rRNA from 1 species